rnacentral:tRNA from 1 species
CGGAUAUAGUUCAGUGGUAGAAUGUCAGCUUCCCAAGCUGAAAAUGCGGGUUCGAUCCCCGUUAUCCG